UUGCUCAGGCCUCACCUCAGGUGUUUCGAAUUAAUCUUUCGCCUUUUACUAAAGAUUACCGUGGGGUGGGGCACUCCAAUGAGCCUAUAGGCCAAUUUUUGGGAGGCCUUGCCCGUUUGGGCAGGGC
rnacentral:snRNA from 1 species